rnacentral:rRNA from 1 species
AGCAGUAGCCGCGGUAAUACGGAGGGUGCAAGCGUUAUCCGGAUUUAUUGGGUUUAAAGGGUCCGUAGGCGGACUUAUAAGUCAGUGGUGAAAGCCUGUCGCUUAACGAUAGAACUGCCAUUGAUACUGUAAGUCUUGAGUAUAUUUGAGGUAGCUGGAAUAAGUAGUGUAGCGGUGAAAUGCAUAGAUAUUACUUAGAACACCAAUUGCGAAGGCAGGUUACCAAGAUAUAACUGACGCUGAGGGACGAAAGCGUGGGUAGCGAACAGGAUUAGAUACCCCCGUAGUCCCUGUCUCUUAUAA